rnacentral:rRNA from 1 species
CACGUAGGGUGCGAGCGUUGUCCGGAAUUAUUGGGCGUAAAGAGCUCGUAGGCGGUUUGUCGCGUCGGCUGUGAAAACUCGGGGCUCAACCCCGAGCCUGCAGUCGAUACGGGCAAACUAGAGUGUGGUAGGGGAGACUGGAAUUCCUGGUGUAGCGGUGAAAUGCGCAGAUAUCAGGAGGAACACCGGCGGCGAAGGCGGGUCUCUGGGCCAUAACUGACGCUGAGGAGCGAAAGCGUGGGGAGCGAACAGG